rnacentral:rRNA from 1 species
CUUGACCUCAAAUCAGGUAGGACUACCCGCUGAACUUAAGCAUAUCAAUAAGCGGAGGAAAAGAAACUAACAAGGAUUCCCCUAGUAACUGCGAGUGAAGCGGGAAAAGCUCAAAUUUAAAAUCUGGCGGUCUCUGGCCGUCCGAGUUGUAAUCUAGAGAAGUAAUGCCCGUGCUGGACCGUGUAUAAGUCUCCUGGGAUGGRGCGUCAUAGAGGGUGAGAAUCCCGUCUUUGACACGGACUACCAGUGCAUUGUGGUAUGCUCUCAAAGAGUCGAGUUGUUUGGGAAUGCAGCUCAAAAUGGGUGGUAAAUUCCAUCUAAAGCUAAAUAUUGGCGAGAGACCGAUAGCGAACAAGUACCGUGAGGGAAAGAUGAAAAGAACUUUGGAAAGAGAGUUAAACAGUACGUGAAAUUGCUGAAAGGGAAACGCUUGAAGUCAGUCGCGUUGGCCAGGGAUCAGCCUUGCUUUUGCAUGGUGUACUUUCUGGUUGACGGGUCAGCAUCAAUUUUGACCGCUGGAAAARGG